GCGGCGUGCUUAACACAUGCAAGUCGAACGGAAAGGCCCUGCUUUUGUGGGGUGCUCGAGUGGCGAACGGGUGAGUAACACGUGAGUAACCUGCCCUUGACUUUGGGAUAACUUCAGGAAACUGGGGCUAAUACCGGAUAGGAGCUCCUGCUGCAUGGUGGGGGUUGGAAAGUUUCGGCGGUUGGGGAUGGACUCGCGGCUUAUCAGCUUGUUGGUGGGGUAGUGGCUUACCAAGGCUUUGACGGGUAGCCGGCCUGAGAGGGUGACCGGCCACAUUGGGACUGAGAUACGGCCCAGACUCCUACGGGAGGCAGCAGUGGGGAAUAUUGCACAAUGGGCGGAAGCCUGAUGCAGCAACGCCGCGUGCGGGAUGACGGCCUUCGGGUUGUAAACCGCUUUCGCCUGUGACGAAGCGUGAGUGACGGUAAUGGGUAAAGAAGCACCGGCUAACUACGUGCCAGCAGCCGCGGUGAUACGUAGGGUGCGAGCGUUGUCCGGAUUUAUUGGGCGUAAAGGGCUCGUAGGUGGUUGAUCGCGUCGGAAGUGUAAUCUUGGGGCUUAACCCUGAGCGUGCUUUCGAUACGGGUGACUGAGGGGAAGGUAGGGGAGAAUGGAAUUCCUGGUGGAGCGGUGGAAUGCGCAGAUAUCAGGAGGAACACCAGUGGCGAAGGCGGUUCUCUGGGCCUUUCCUGACGCUGAGGAGCGAAAGCGUGGGGAGCGAACAGGCUUAGAUACCCUGGUAGUCCACGCUGUAAACGGUGGGUACUAGGUGUGGGGUCCAUUCCACGGGUUCCGUGCCGUAGCUAACGCUUUAAGUACCCCGCCUGGGGAGUACGGCCGCAAGGCUAAAACUCAAAGGAAUUGACGGGGCCCCGCACAAGCGGCGGAGCAUGCGGAUUAAUUCGAUGCAACGCGUAGAACCUUACCUGGGUUUGACAUGGAUCGGGAGUGCUCAGAGAUGGGUGUGCCUCUUUUGGGGUCGGUUCACAGGUGGUGCAUGGCUGUCGUCAGCUCGUGUCGUGAGAUGUUGGGUUAAGUCCCGCAACGAGCGCAACCCUUGUUCACUGUUGCCAGCACGUUAUGGUGGGGACUCAGUGGAGACCGCCGGGGUCAACUCGGAGGAAGGUGGGGAUGACGUCAAGUCAUCAUGCCCCUUAUGUCCAGGGCUUCACGCAUGCUACAAUGGCUGGUACAGAGAGUGGCGAGCCUGUGAGGGUGAGCGAAUCUCGGAAAGCCGGUCUCAGUUCGGAUUGGGGUCUGCAACUCGACCUCAUGAAGUCGGAGUCGCUAGUAAUCGCAGAUCAGCAACGCUGCGGUGAAUACGUUCCCGGGGCUUGUACACACCGCCCGUCAAGUCAUGAAAGUUGGUAACACCCGAAGCCGGUGGCCUAACCGUUGUGGGGGAGCCGUCGAAGGUGGGACUGGUGAUUAGGACU
rnacentral:rRNA from 1 species